rnacentral:lncRNA from 1 species
CUGCAUAGACAUACUGAUGUGAGUUGUUGCACCAGAAUCUAUCCACCAUGUAUGUCUAGGUACCGAAGUUAAAUUAACCUCAGAACAAACUAAAUGAAGAAGAGUACCUUUCUUUACACGCCAUGCAUGGUAAUUGGUGCAAUUCUUCUUCUUAUGACCUGCAGCUCCACAGAAGAAACAACCGCCUUCAGUUGGUUCCUUAUGCUGUUUCUUUUGCGGUGCCGUACCUGCAGCUUCCUUAUUAAUCUUCCUUUUCUUGUUGCUUUUGUCCUUAGAGGUGGUGGCUAAAUGAGCACUUUCUGUCUUUUCAUGCUUCAAUCUUUCCUCUUCCUAGACACAGUGUGAGAUGAGCUCAUUAAGGGACCAUGAGUCCUUUUGACAGUUGUAGCUCACCUUGAAUUGACUGAAAUGUGUCGAAAGGGAUAUCAAAACCAAGUGCACUAACAAGUCUUCAGAUAAAUCCAACUUGAGUGCCUUUAGUUUUAAAGCAAUGUGAGACAUUUCCAUAAUGUACUCCCGAAUGUUUCAUUUCCCUUUAUACCUCAUUGAGACAAGAUUUGCCAAAAGUGUACUUGUUUCAGCCUUUUCAUUCUUGGCAAACCUCUUCUCAAGGUCCUCAAGAAAACCCUUAGCCGUAGUCAC